GGCUGUGUGACAUGUUUUCAGUUAUGUGCAAGGAACCACCAUCACACCAUGGAAGAUGUCAAUGUCAACAGCAGAAGGAAAAUUACUCUGCAGGCCCUUCCCAUCUUCCUGUGGGAAGAUGGAUUUUUUAAGACCUGGAAUGCAGAAGAAAUUGACCUGCCAGACUUCUCCGAUGCAGCUGUAGCUAUUCUCACUGUCUCGGGUGAUACAGACUCCCUUGUCAGGG